UCAUGAAGUCAUUUAAUAUUUUUCACAGAUUUUCUUCGUGUGCAAAACAGUGUUAAUUUCCCCAUUGUUUUCUCGUGACACAGGUGUUUGUACUAGAUGACCUUUUUGGCCUACACUUCGUAAAUUUCAGCUUGUGUAUUACGCAAUGGUACAAUUUUACAAGGGUUGUUUGAAAUCUAAAGUAAAUCAAUCGUAAUAAGGGUGGCUAGAAAGAUAAACAACAACAUACAGUGUGUGUAUGUUCAUUUAUUAACAGAUAUUACGAUGUUGGGAAUAAAGACUGCCAGUUAUAUUAAGAUUUUAGCAGAAGACUAGGACAUGUGGAUUUUAUUAUCUGCCUGAUUAAAUAACCCAGUUUUACUAGUUAUUUUCAUAAAUAAAUAAAAUAUUAAAUUCAAAAUGGCGGCAACGACACAAAUAUGGCGGCAACGACGUCCGUUUUGUCCGUUUUGUUUGAACUCUAUUUCAAAAUUUUAACACCAACUGGCUUUUUAAUAUUUAAGAUAAGUUUCAAAAUACACAAUUAUGUUUAUUUGGAUUUAAAAUAAAUUAAUUAUGAAUUAUUUAUUUAUUUAUUUUCAAUCACGUGACUUAUUCUAAGUCUCUGAUUGGUCAACAACAGAGCGCGGAUUUUUUCAUGGACGAUUUGAAUGUUGGUGUGUUGAAAGUGUUGAUAGAAAAACGAUGACAAAAUCAUUCGCAGUAUACUGGUGCAUUAUUUCUUUCCAUGAGCAUCUCAUGUCUGUGCCAAGCUGGAGUGAAAUCCUUCAAAAAUAUCACCUGUUUUAGAAUUGAAGAAAAAUGAAGAGAAGGUUGAAAUUGCAAGCAUAUUUCAAAUGAAGACUCAGACGACUACCAGUGCAGGCCAUUGAGGGGCGCAGACCGUCUGCCGGCCAGCCUAGUCCCUCGACCAGCUCGGCCAAAUACCAGUGCAGCCUGUCGAGGGGGACAUACUGCUGGCCGGCCAAGUCCCAUGACCACUUCAGCCUACUACCAGUACAACCUGUCAAGGGGCGCAGACUGCUGGCCGGACAGCCAAGUCCCUCGACCAGCUCGGCCGACUACUGGUGCAGCCCGUCUUUAAAUAAUCCAGAUAAAAAUCACAACUGUACAUCCACAAGGAUACCUGUGCAAGGACUUGGGUGGUAUGCAGCUAAGAACUGUGACCGAAAUCACUGCUUAGAACCUUCUUUUUUUUUUAAGUACAGCUAGAUCAUGGCGCUAACAUGAAAAACUAGAGAGUUAAAAUCUAGGCAGUGAUGCCUAUUUAUAAAAGUUCACAAGAGUAGAAUGCAGUUUACUAGGUAAAUUUACAAAAACUCUUAUGACUAUAUGCUAAAAAAAUGUAUUUUAAGAAAACAACCAUUGUGAGAAAUUUCAAUCUGUUAUGAUGGCUUGAUGAAAAAUAAGGUAGACUUGAAAACAUGAAUGUGCAUUCAUUCAAUUGUAUUUGACAAUGAACCAAGCUCUCUUAAUCAUGUUUAUAAAAUAAAAUUGUAAGUGCUUUUAAUUUUUUUUAAAUAAUCUUUUUUGUAAAAAUUUUAAUAAUCUUUUUGUAAAAAUUUUAAUGAGUAGCUUUUUUAAAGCCUAUAAUUGAGUAAUU